rnacentral:rRNA from 1 species
UACAGAGGCCUCUAGCGUUAGGCGGAAUCACUGGGCUUAAAGCGUGUGUAGGUGGCUUCCUAAGUACCUUGUGAAAUCCCAUGGCUUAACCAUGGAAUUGCUUGGUAUACUGGGUGUCUUGAGCCACUCAGGGGCUACUGGAACAAACGGUGGAGCGGUGAAAUGCGUAGAUAUCGUUUGGAACGCCAAUGGGGAAAACAAGUAGCUGGGGGUGGGCUGACACUGAGACACGAAAGCCAGGGGAGCAAACGGG